AGUGAGAUAGCUGGGUCAAAUGGUAGUUCUGUUCAAGUUUUCUAAGGAAUCUCCAUCCUGCUUUCCAGAUUUGUUACACCAACUUGUAGUCCCACCAGCAAU
rnacentral:pre_miRNA from 1 species